UGUUGCUACGCGUGGACCUGCUGUAAGCUGCUGGCUUCUGGUGUGCCCAGCCUCCCAUGCCAUUUUAAACAACUGAUCAGCUCUGGAGGUGGCAGCUUGAGAGGCAAAGCCUGAGAUGCUCAGCUAAGAGAGACAGCUCUAGCCUUGCAGCCCCAUCUUGCUCCAUACCAGCUAUUAGUUACGGGAUUUGACCUGAGUGGGGAUCAAUUUUCCAGGUCAGGAAACCAAGACUCCUUUAAAAAGAAAGCCAACACAGACUUGCACACCAAAGUUGGAAAGGUCUCCAGAGACACAGUGCCAGUAUGCAAGAGACCCACAGAGGCCAGGUCCAGUCUCCAGGGCUGGGGAGGAG
ensembl:lncRNA